ACACUUCAAUCUUGCAAAAUUAUAGCUCAAAUGGAGCAAAGGUUGCAUGGGUUUGCAACCUAUGGUAGAAUUUGGGUUGAUUGGUUGAGUAAUUAUGUUCUUGCAAUUCCAUGACAUGCUCGAGGGUUUGAGGAUGUUUAUUGGUGGCUGAUGUGAUGAAUUAACAUGUUGUGGUUGCUGAUAUUGUGCUAUGUUGCAUGUAUAUAGAAUGAUUGAUGGAAUGAAGUUGGAAGAAAGUUAGAAAUUUGGAAAAGGAUCUCAAGAGGACUUCGAGGGAACUCCCGGCGAAGCGUCUUAGAGCUAAUUUCUCAAACUUUGACUUUUGAUACUUGGUUUGGAAGUGGAAGUUCUGAGGCUUAAUUAGUGACCCCCAAAAAUAAUUUUUCCCCACAGGGCUCGAGGCCAAAGAAAGCGCUUGUAUUGAGUUAUUAGUACCUGAAGGGAUAUCUCAUAUAUAAUUUGAAUUCGAUUCACUUGAUAAGUAUUUGAUGUAAUUAUUUGAGAACUGAGAACUUUUGUUUUAUUCGGGGAAUGAUACCCUUACUUGAGAUUUGUAAUGUAUCUUAUCUCGUUCUAAGUUUGAAAAAUGUUAUUUCGUUUAUUCUUGAGGUUGUACCCUAUGUUAUUGGAUGUGAGUGAUGUAUUUUAUUUGAGAACUAUAGUGAGUCCCGGUAAGAGUUGGGCAGGCGGUCCGCCGAGCCCUUUGGUUCGCCUUAGGGGAAGGUGGGGCUGUCACACAGUGGAGCACAUUUUCUUCCACUGCACAAAGGCAAGGAUGGUAUGGAAGAUGGCUCCACUACAAUGGGAUGAAUUGAAUGAGUUCACCAACGACUUCAGGAAUUGGUGGGGUAGUUUAAUGGAAGUAAAGGCCAGGAAGGAAGGAAUGCAACACAUAGCGUUAACAGUCGGCAUCCUCUGGCAGAUUUGGAAAGCCAGGAAUGAACCAUAAUUUGAAGACAAACAAAGGCAUCCGAUGGAAGUAGUUACAAAGGCAGUUAAGGAAUGGGAGGAGUACCAUCAAUCCCAACAGGCUGAACAACAGAUGAGCAUAUCAGAAACAGAUACAGCAGAUGAACAAGACGCAGAGGUGGGACCAGAUGCAAACUUGCUGAUCAUUCGAGUAGAUGUGGGACAACACAUUGAAGGACAGAAUAUGGGAAUUGGCAUCACAGCGGCAAAUGUCAUGAACCAGAUAUGUGCAGCGUGGAUGCUAAAAGAAAGAAGCACUGGAUCAGUUGUUUUGGACAAUUUGGUGGCUAUACAAUUGGUACUUUGCAAGCUAAAGGAACGAGGAUGGCCGGACAUAAAGCUUUAGAUACCAUGCAAUCAGAUUUUAAAGCUCAUGCACCGGCAAGUCCCAAGUAACAUUCGUAUAGCAGCCCACCUAGAAUGCAUAGCCGAUCUUAGCUCAAUGUUUAGGACAUGCUCAUUUGAUAGUCAGUCUAGUAAUGAUAGUACUAAUACACUCAGUUAUAAACUGAGUAAGAAAGCAAUGCAUAUACUCUUUGAUGAGGAGUUAUUUUAUCCUCAGUGUCUUAGUACACUUUUGUAAAGGACAAGUUGAGCCCUUGCUCAUACAUUGUAUUUCUCUAUUAGUAGAAAUAGAAAUUCCUAUC